CACACUGGACUGAGACACGGUCCAGACUCCUACGGGAGGCAGCAGUGGGGAAUAUUGCACAAUGGGCGCAAGCCUGAUGCAGCCAUGCCGCGUGUGUGAAGAAGGCCUUCGGGUUGUAAAGCACUUUCAGUCGUGAGGAAGGUAGUGUAGUUAAUAGCUGCAUUAUUUGACGUUAGCGACAGAAGAAGCACCGGCUAACUCCGUGCCAGCAGCCGCGGUAAUACGGAGGGUGCGAGCGUUAAUCGGAAUUACUGGGCGUAAAGCGCAUGCAGGUGGUUUGUUAAGUCAGAUGUGAAAGCCCGGGGCUCAACCUCGGAAUUGCAUUUGAAACUGGCAGACUAGAGUACUGUAGAGGGGGGUAGAAUUUCAGGUGUAGCGGUGAAAUGCGUAGAGAUCUGAAGGAAUACCGGUGGCGAAGGCGGCCCCCUGGACAGAUACUGACACUCAGAUGCGAAAGCGUGGGGAGCAAACAGGAUUAGAUACCCUGGUAGUCCACGCCGUAAACGAUGUCUACUUGGAGGUUGUGGCCUUGAGCCGUGGCUUUCGGAGCUAACGCGUUAAGUAGACCGCCUGGGGAGUACGGUCGCAAGAUUAAAACUCAAAUGAAUUGACGGGGGCCCGCACAAGCGGUGGAGCAUGUGGUUUAAUUCGAUGCAACGCGAAGAACCUUACCUACUCUUGACAUCCAGAGAACUUUCCAGAGAUGGAUUGGUGCCUUCGGGAACUCUGAGACAGGUGCUGCAUGGCUGUCGUCAGCUCG
rnacentral:rRNA from 2 species